rnacentral:rRNA from 1 species
UAAGAUAUUUGUAAUUAGGUAGUAAAGAAAAAUCUGAAACCUAAAGAACUUGGCGGUAUUUUAAAUAAUUGGAGGAACCUGUUGCUUAAUUGAAAAUCCACAACAUAUCUUACCUUAUUUUUGUUUGUAUAUCGUUGCUUAGACAAAAUUUUUUAAUAUAGUCAAUAACAACAUAGCUUUCAAAAAUCAAAUCAAGGUGCAGCAUAAUAGGGUUGUAAUGGGUUACAUUAUGAAUUAUAUAAGACGGAAUUUAAAUGAAAACUAAUUUGAAGGUGGAUUCAAAAGUAAUUGUAAAGUAAAAAGUUUCAAUGAAUAAUUUUUUAAAAUAUGC